UUGUCCUACGGGGCGCAGCAGUGGGGAAUAUUGCACGAUGGGGGAAACCCUGAUGCAGCGACGCCGCGUGAGCGAAGAAGUAUUUCGGUAUGUAAAGCUCAAUCAGCAGGGAAGAAAAAAAUGACGGUACCUGAGUAAGAAGCACCGGCUAAAUACGCGCCAGCAGCCGCGGUAAUACGUAUGGUGCAAGCGUUAUCCGGAUUUACUGGGUGUAAAGGGAGCGUAGGCGGCGCGUUAAGUCUGAUGUGAAAACCCGAGGCUCAACCACGGGAGUGCAUUGGAAACUGGCGGGCUGGAGUGGCGGG
rnacentral:rRNA from 1 species